rnacentral:rRNA from 1 species
UACGUAGGGUCCGAGCGUUGUCCGGAAUUAUUGGGCGUAAAGAGCUCGUAGGCGGUUUGUCGCGUCUGCUGUGAAAUCCCGAGGCUCAACCUCGGGUCUGCAGUGGGUACGGGCAGACUGGAGUGCGGUAGGGGAGAAUGGAAUUCCUGGUGUAGCGGUGGAAUGCGCAGAUAUCAGGAGGAACACCGAUGGCGAAGGCAGUUCUCUGGGACGGUACUGACGCUGAGGCGCGAAAGCGUGGGGAGCGAACAGG